rnacentral:lncRNA from 1 species
GCUUAAAAAUCAAAGUAUUAUUAGAUUCAAGAAGGAAGACAGUGCAAUAAAAGUAUCCAUGACAAAAUACACUUCCAAUUUCUAAAUGAGUUACUCAAACUUUAACAAGAACAGAACAAAAUUUGGGUUAGACUUUGGGGAGUGACAAGGAUCAAAUACUCAGAAAUCAGUCUUUUAGAGGCAUACUGGAAAUCACAGGAACCACAAUAAAUUCUUUCAUGACAAGUCACCCAGCAGUUUUCUGCCCUGUAACCAUUUUCAUCAGUGUCUGCAAUAGUGAGUUCCUUGGGUUUGGGUUUUUUCCUACAAACCAACAUUUUGUUUGAAUAGAGAUGUUCCAGAUAACUCUCAUGGGACAUCUUUAUGUCUGUAACUUCCAGUAUUGGUGGAGGUUUUCUUACUACCAUACUUUUUGCCUGCCUCCUGAUAAAGUGGGUAUAACAUGAGCACCUCCAAUGUGUUGGUGAGAAGCAGAAACACCCAUGCUAAAGACCUGUCUCCUUUACAACUCUUUUGUAAAUGAGGGUGGGCAAGUACUUGGUUUAAACGUACUCCAUUCUAUGAGGAAUGGGCUGACUCACAGUGAACUUUAGCUGUAAUAGGGAUUUAAGCUCUAGACUUUAUUAUUUAGCAAUGCCUCAGACUGUGCAUGAUAGAAAUCUGCUAGAUCCUAUGAAGCUCCAGGCAAGCUGUUAUUAGCAAUGCUAAUUUGAAAGGCUGAUGAAUGAAUUAACAAAUUCCAAGGUGCAGUUUUUAACCAGAUUUUAUCAGUUUUAGAGUAAGCUUUGACAUUUACAACUUAGAAGCAAACAGGCUUUGCAGAUUCCUCUAUAAUGGCUACAUGGUAUAAAUUCUGCAUGUUCUACAAAAGCUACACUUGAAACCCUUCAUUUCAUUUCUUUGGUUUCACAGAAACAAAAGCUACUUAAGUGAACUGAGCAAUGAAAGACAAGCAAACAAAGGUAACUUACUUUCCGUCUCCUAAAGCUCGAGAGAUGCUUGUAAAUACCAGUUUUAGCAGGUUGCACAGAAGAAUUCCAAAUGAACGCAGCUAGAACUAGUUUUGGACCAUCACUUUCCAGCAGAAAACUGUCUUUGGCACUUACAUAAUCUAAUUCUAUGAUGUUACAUUACACACAGUCCCAUAUCAAGUUGACAGAGGAAAUUAAAGACGACUUUUGUAAAACAGGCACUUCAAAUUAGAACAGGAAAAUCUGCUCCCCAUUAGGCAAUACAGGAGCUUUUUUCCAGCAUGACAGAAGCAGCAUGUAGUACCAAAAAUAAGAUGAAAGAGUUCAGUAAAUUCAGACUCUCGGGGUGAAAGUUUUACCCAGCUCUAUUAGACUUAAAUAACAGCAGCACCUGGAAAAUCUGAAGGCUACAACAGACUGGGCAAGGCAUUAAAAAACACACAGCAUGGAACAGUUCUGUAUCAACCUGUUCACCCUCCAAUUCUACAUUUAGAUCUGUCACAAAGAUUUUCUUACAUAGGUAUCUUUCUUCCACUUAAUGCACCUUGUAGUAAGAUAUAAGCAAUGAGACUCAAAAUACAGCUAUACCCUAAGCCUCCUCUUUGGUAAACAGGUGAAUACAGGCAUUUCUGACACAGGUACUGUGUCAGGCCAGAUUAACUUCCACCAUCAAAUGACAGCACUGAUUUUGGGCUUUUCUAACAUAUUUACUGUAAGGCUCACAACUGGCAUGCACAGAUGCCUAGAUUCAGCUGUGUCAAAGAGCAUGAUCAAAGAAACCAACAGGGUGGGAAAACGUAUACAUAGCACACCAUCCUUCACGUAAACCAAAGUAAUAGUAACCAAAUAUGCAUUCAGUGAUUAAGCAGAAGACUGGGAAACAAGAGUUUUAGCUCAAUCACUUCCAUUAAAACACUAGGAAAAGUAGGUUUGUUCCUCGCUUUCCCCUUUUUCUCAAGACAACAAAAACAUGCUCUUGCAAUCUGUUUUUAAGCGCUUAGCUGAAAUAGGCUGGAAAAUGUACAGCUCAACUGCAUUCCCCAUGGCUCUGCAAAGGGUAUUUUGCUAAUCUCAGUACAUCCAUAGAGUCUGGAAACCCUGGCACGGAUCGUGCACUGUGAGUAGAUGAGCAUGUGACUGCAACCCUUAAAGCCACCUUCAAAGGUGGCAACCAGCUACAACCUGCUCCAUGUUAAUGAGGUGUCUCAGGAGAGGUGUGGACAUGUUCUUCACUCAGCACCCUGACCUGAACACUGAGUCAUCCGUGUCCCUCCUUUAACAUAGAGCUCCUAAGUUUCCAGUGUGUUAGGAAGUCUCUGAACAGCACUUUCCCAGUCUCUAAAUGAAAAGCACUAGCUUUGUUUUCAGAGGAAGCAGUUUAAAAAAGACUUAUCAAAUGACUUCCCUAUUCUAUUCUCUUCAGCCUAUCAAGAAGAGCCAGGUAGUAAAAUCCUUUUAGAAGGCUGAAGUAUCACUUCACCAGAAGUUGUGUGACAAAAAUUGCAUCAAAUAAUUCUAAUCUUCCUAUUUUUCUAAAGGGAAGCUGACAAAUUAAGAUAUAGCAAAUUAUACAGCAUUAUCCAGAAGAGGGCUUUACAAAUGUUAAUGAUUUUAGUGGCAUGCCAUUUCAUAGAAAAGCUGAGUCCAAAAGAAAACUGAAGCAUGCCCCAUUUUAUAUGGAUCCAAAGAAAUGUUUCAUCACUAAAAUAGUAAUACUGAAGGAAGUUGUCAUUAAGAAGAAAUGAUGAAACUGGUGUCCCCAGUAGGACAUCCCGGAGCCAAUGCUAGCUCUGAAAGGAGAAGUUUCAAGUCAACACAAGCAGCAAGAAGGGUAUUUACACCCAACGGCUACUAUCCUGUUUUCACUUACCCCUGUCCUGAAGUGUUUCUUGUUACUCUUCCCAGCUAAUUCUCCUCACAUGACCUGUCACUCUCCUUCACUCCUAGCUGUAUUCAACUAUCACUUGUGAGGUCUCCAGGUAGCAGAAUCCCAAACCUACCUAACCUGAGACAGUAUUAAGGUCUGACUAAUCAGCACCAUGGGAAAGCCUCUCCUCCAGCAUAAUCCCACUACAAAGGAAGGAAUUCCCAUCUUGGGGGUAGGUAUCCCAGUGCCCGCACAACACAAAAAAGUUAACAGUGCAGGCUGCUUAGUAUACAAAGCUACUCUAGCAAAAAACUGUGGGUUAAGGUUGUCACACUUUACUGAACUAGUGAGGAUGUUGGGUCUCAGACUCCCAGCAUUACAAUAUGUCAUAAACUGUGAUCUGUCUAGUGCUGUAUCAGCCUCUGCUCUCCAGUAGCUCCUCUGGGCAAAUUUACUGCCCAAACACCAAGAUUGGGCCUACACAGAUUGCUUACACUACUUCAAAGUCACAAGUUCUCUCUGACCUUCUGACCUGUGUUCUCAAGUUGUGAGACUCAUAAACAGCAGGCUCUGUUCAACUCAAGAACUUCUUCUUAGCAAUAAUGCUCCAUCUAGACACAGAAAAUGCUGACCAAAUAGGCUAUGAAACACUGUGCAGCAUCUCUUCCCAGUGAAUGCUACAUAUAGCACAAGUAUCUCAAUAUUAUAAACCAUUACACUCUAUGGGUAAGAAAAAAGUGAUCCUACAGGCUUCUGUGCCAGAUGGCCAGUUCUUAUAAAACAAACCUCUCUGAAAAGAAACUUAAGCACCUAUAGAUCUGGACUUCAGAACACAAAGGGGGAAAGCAAGCAAUUGUGAGAAGCCUAGCACUACAUUGCUGAACUCCUCUUGGAGGGACUCUCUUCUAUAAAACUUCUGAAUUAACUGGCCAAAGAAAGUAACAAUAAAGAGUUACUCUGGUAGACACAAAAAAUAUGCUGCCCUUUAAAAUUCCAAAGGUGCCAACACAGGUCAGAUUGAAGGCUAAAAAAAGAGCAGCAACUUUUAAGGAGAAAACCUUCUGAUGUUUUCUUCACUCUUGGUUUUGCAUGUGUAUACUUAUGAUAUAAAGGUGCAUGAGUGGACAGGUAAGUUUAAUUAUAAGUUGAAGACUAUCAUAAAACCCAGCUCAGGUCUGGGUUUUGUAAUCUCCUCCACCUGAACCAUUACAGCAUCCUACUGAUCUAAUGAAAAUUAUGUUGAGGUGUCCCAUGACAUGACCAGGGUUGCCAGAGGCAAAUAAUGACAGUAAAACUAUGGAACGAGGAAGGCUAACAGCUUCUGUCUGCCUCUCAGGUGACUUACUCCACCUACCGUUCAAAGAGGGACAGAGGCAGCAAACACCUAAUAAAACCUGUUGGGUGGUGGCAGCAUAGAAUCAGAAUCAACAAGGUUGGAAAUAACCUUCAAGAUCAUCAAGUCCAACCGUUCCCCAGCACUGCCAAGGCCACCACUAAAACCAUGUCACCAAGAGCCUCAUCUACACGGUUUUGAACACUUGCAGGGACGGUGACUCCAGCACUGCCCUGGGCAGCCUGUUCCAAUGCCUGAGCACCCUCUGGGGAAGGAAUUGUUCCUCAUCUCCAUCUAAACCUCCUCUGGUGCAGCUUGAGGCCAUUUCCUCUUGUCCCAUCACUUGUUCCUUGGGAGAAGAGACCAGCCUCCUCCUGGCUCCAUGCUCCUGUCAGGCAGAUGUAGAGAGCAAUACGGUCCCCUCCGAGCCUUCUCUUCUCCAGACUAAAACCCCCAGGUCCCUCAGCUGUUCCUCAUCACACUUGUGCUCCAGGCCCCGCUCCAGCACCUCAAUGUCUCUCUUGUAGUGAGGGGCCCAGAGCUGAACACAGGAUUCAAGGGGCAGCCUCACCAGUGCCCAGCACAGGGGGAUUAUUACUUCCCUACCAUGUUAACACCGCUAGGAUUACUGCUGUUUGCUUCUGAGUAAACAGGUUUUAUUUAUUCAGAAGGCAUCAGCACAAAGUCAUUUUUCCAGCUGUCCGUAAUUCAGAACAUGAAUGAAAAACUAAAACAAAUUCUUUGAACAAACAGAUUCAACCUUUCCAAGUAUUUUGGGGUACCUUAUUUGGAGCCAUUUUCUUGCAUACAAAAGUGUCAAAUAAGACAGACUAUCCAAGCUGGGUUUAAAAGUGCUCUGCCACAUCUACAACUAGUUAACAGUCUUAAAAACCCCCAAAACCCAGAAGUGAACACUGGAAGCUGGAAUUCUUCAAGUGAAG